CGUGAGCAACCUGCCCUUCUCAUCGGAAUAAGCGUUGGAAACGACGUCUAAUGCCGAAUACGACCUCUUUUCGCAUGAUCAGAGGUGGAAAGCUCCGGCGGAGAAGGAUGGGCUCGCGGCCUAUCAGCUUGUUGGUGGGGUAACGGCCCACCAAGGCGACGACGGGUAGCCGGCCUGAGAGGGUGACCGGCCACACUGGGACUGAGACACGGCCCAGACUCCUACGGGAGGCAGCAGUGGGGAAUAUUGGACAAUGGGCGAAAGCCUGAUCCAGCAACGCCGCGUGAGGGAUGACGGCCUUCGGGUUGUAAACCUCUUUCAGCGGGGACGAGCGAAAGUGACGGUACCCGCAGAAGAAGGACCGGCCAACUACGUGCCAGCAGCCGCGGUAAUACGUAGGGUCCGAGCGUUGUCCGGAAUUAUUGGGCGUAAAGGGCUCGUAGGCGGUCUGUCGCGUCGGGAGUGAAAACUCAGGGCUCAACCCUGAGCGUGCUUCCGAUACGGGCAGACUAGAGGUAUGCAGGGGAGAACGGAAUUCCUGGUGUAGCGGUGGAAUGCGCAGAUAUCAGGAGGAACACCGGUGGCGAAGGCGGUUCUCUGGGCAUUACCUGACGCUGAGGAGCGAAAGCAUGGGGAGCGAACAGGAUUAGAUACCCUGGUAGUCCAUGCCGUAAACGUUGGGCGCUAGGUGUGGGGUCCUUCCACGGACUCCGUGCCGCAGCUAACGCAUUAAGCGCCCCGCCUGGGGAGUACGGCCGCAAGGCUAAAACUCAAAGGAAUUGACGGGGGCCCGCACAAGCGGCGGAGCAUGCUGAUUAAUUCGAUGCAACGCGAAGAACCUUACCUGGGUUUGACAUAUACCGGAAAGCUGCAGAGAUGUAGCCCCCUUUUGGUCGGUAUACAGGUGGUGCAUGGCUGUCGCAGCUCGUGUCGUGAGAUGUUGGGUUAAGUCCCGCAACGAGCGCAACCCUCGUCUAUGUUGCCAGCACGUCAUGGUGGGGACUCAUAGGAGACUGCCGGGGUCAACUCGGAGGAAGGUGGGGAUGACGUCAAGUCUUCAUGCCCCUUAUGUCCAGGGCUUCAAGCAUGCUACAAUGGCCGGUACAAAGGGCUGCGAAACCGCAAGGUGGAGCGAAUCCCAAAAAGCCGGUCUCAGUUCGGAUUGGGGUCUGCAACUCGACCCCAUGAAGUCGGAGUCGCUAGUAAUCGCAGAUCAGCAACGCUGCGGUGAAUACGUUCCCGGGCCUUGUACACACCGCCCGUCACGUCAUGAAAGUCGGCAACACCCGAAGCCGGUGGCCCAACCCUUGUGGAGGGAGCCGUCGAAAAGUGGGCC
rnacentral:rRNA from 1 species